AACGAACGCUGGCGGCAUGCCUAACACAUGCAAGUCGAACGAGAUCUUCGGGUCUAGUGGCGCACGGGUGCGUAACGCGUGGGAAUCUGCCCUUUGGUUCGGAAUAACAGUUGGAAACGACUGCUAAUCCCGGAUGAUGACGAAAGUCCAAAGAUUUAUCGCCAGAGGAUGAGCCCGCGUAGGAUGAGCUAGUUGGUGUGGUAAAGGCGCACCAAGGCGACGAUCCUUAGCUGGUCUGAGAGAAUGAUCAGCCACACUGGGACUGAGACACGGCCCAGACUCCUACGGUAGGCAGCAGUGGGGAAUAUUGGACAAUGGGCGAAAGCCUGAUCCAGCAAUGCCUCGUGAGUGAUGAAGGCCUUAGGGUUGUAAAGCUCUUUUACCCGGGAUGAUAAUGACAGUACCGGGAGAAUAAGCUCCGGCUAACUCCGUGCCAGCAGCCGCGGUAA
rnacentral:rRNA from 1 species